AUUGAACGCUGGCGGUAUGCUUAACACAUGCAAGUCGAACGGUAGCAGGCCUUCGGGCGCUGACGAGUGGCGGACGGGUGAGUAAUGCAUAGGAAUCUGCCUAUUAGUGGGGGAUAACGUGGGGAAACUCACGCUAAUACCGCAUACGAUCUACGGAUGAAAGCUGGGGACCUUCGGGCCUGGCGCUAAUAGAUGAGCCUAUGUCGGAUUAGCUAGUUGGUGGGGUAAAGGCCUACCAAGGCGACGAUCCGUAACUGGUCUGAGAGGAUGAUCAGGCACACUGGAACUGAGACACGGUCCAGACUCCUACGGGAGGCAGCAGUGGGGAAUAUUGGACAAUGGGCGAAAGCCUGAUCCAGCAAUACCGCGUGUGUGAAGAAGGCCUGAGGGUUGUAAAGCACUUUCAAUAGGAAGGAAUACCUGCUGGUUAAUACCCGGCAGACUGACAUUACCUAUACAAGAAGCACCGGCUAACUCCGUGCCAGCAGCCGCCGUAA
rnacentral:rRNA from 1 species